rnacentral:lncRNA from 1 species
UCUCAUAAUUUUGUGAAUCCUAAAAGGUAUUCUUUCUUACUUUGUUCUCAGCUUCCUUUCAUCUGAGAAAGUUCUUAAAUACCUAGUAUCCAAGAAUCUUAUCUACCCUUCUCAACUCCUAGAUGAAGGGGGGAUCUUAAAAGUUUCUUCCUCACCAUUCCUUGAAGGGGGUUCUAUAGACAUAUGGAGUUACCCUGGCUGGAUGAAGCCACCCUGCAAUUAACCUCAGUGUUCAUGUAAUAGAUAUGAGUUUGUCACUUAAUUUCAACAGCAAACAACCUCGUAAAAGUCAACACAGAAGGGAAAA